rnacentral:lncRNA from 9 species
UCCCUACUGGCCAGGUGAGCAGUUUCCGAAGUGAUACAGACAGCUCGGUGCACGUCCAGGUAGAGACCUCCAGCAAGGAUGACGUCACCAUAACCACCAACCUGUCUGCUUCGGGUGCCUUCUACACGCUGCUGCAAGACCAGGUCCGGAACAGCUACUACAUCGGGGCCGACGGCUCCCUGCGGCUGCUGCUGGCCAACGGCAUGGAGGUGGCCCUGCAGACGGAGCCGCACCUGCUGGCCGGGACCGUCAACCCCACCGUGGGCAAGAGGAACGUCACGCUGCCCAUCGACAACGGCCUCAACCUGGUGGAGUGGCGGCAGCGCAAGGAGCAGGCUCGGGGCCAGGUCACCGUCUUCGGGCGCCGGCUUCGGGUUCACAACCGGAACCUCCUGUCUCUGGACUUUGACCGCGUGACACGCACGGAGAAGAUCUACGACGACCACCGCAAGUUCACCCUCCGGAUCCUCUACGACCAGGCAGGGCGGCCCAGCCUCUGGUCACCCAGCAGCGGCUGAAUGGCGUCAACGUGACCUACUCCCCAGGGGGCCACAUUGCCGGCAUCCAGAGGGGCAUCAUGUCUGAGAGGAUGGAGUACGACCAGUCAGGUCGCCUCACGUCUAGGAUCUUCGCUGAUGGGAAGACAUGGAGCUACACGUACCUAGAGAAGUCCAUGGUGCUGCUCCUCCACAGCCAGCGGCAGUACAUCUUUGAGUUCGACAAGAACGACCGCCUCUCCUCCGUGACCAUGCCCAACGUGGCCCGGCAGACGCUGGAGACCAUCCGCUCGGUGGGUUACUACAGGAACAUCUACCAGCCCCCGAGGGCAAUGCCUCGGUCAUCCAGGACUUCACGGAGGACGGGCACCUCCUCCACACCUUCUACCUGGGCACCGGCCGCAGGGUGAUCUACAAGUACGGCAAGCUGUCCAAGCUGGCCGAGAUGCUCUACGACACCACCAAGGUGAGCUUCGCCUACGACGAGACGGCUGGCAUGCUCAAGACCAUCACCCUCCAGAACGAAGGCUUCACCUGCACCAUCCGCUACCGUCAAAUCGGGCCCCUGAUCGACCGCCAGAUCUUCCGCUUCACCGAGGAAGGCAUGGUCAACGCCCGCUUCGACUACAACUAUGACAACAGCUUCCGGGUGACCAGCAUGCAGGCCGUGAUCAACGAGACCCCUCUGCCCAUCGACCUCUAUCGCUACGAUGACGUGUCGGGCAAGACGGAGCAGUUCGGGAAGUUUGGCGUCAUCUACUAUGACAUCAACCAGAUCAUCACCACGGCGGUCAUGACCCACACCAAGCACUUCGACGCCUACGGCCGGAUGAAGGAAGUGCAGUACGAGAUCUUCCGCUCGCUCAUGUACUGGAUGACCGUCCAGUACGAUAACAUGGGGCGGGUGGUGAAGAAGGAGCUGAAGGUGGGGCCCUACGCCAACACCACCCGCUACGCCUACGAGUACGAUGCCGACGGCCAGCUGCAGACGGUCUCCAUCAAUGACAAACCACUCUGGCGGUACAGCUACGACCUCAAUGGGAACCUGCACUUGCUGAGCCCGGGGAACAGUGCGCGGCUCACCCCGCUACGCUAUGACCUCCGGGACCGCAUCACCAGGCUGGGGGACGUGCAGUACAAGGUGGACGAGGAUGGUUUCCUGAGGCAGCGGGGCAGUGAUGUCUUCGAGUACAACUCAGCGGGCCUGCUCAUCAAGGCCUACAACCGGGGCGGUGGCUGGAGCGUCAGGUACCGCUACGAUGGCCUGGGGCGGCGGGUGUCCAGCAAGAGCAGCCACAGCCACCACCUGCAGUUCUUCUAUGCAGACCUGACCAAUCCCACCAAGGUCACGCACCUCUACAACCACUCCAGCUCUGAGAUCACAUCCCUCUACUACGACCUGCAAGGACACCUCUUCGCCAUGGAGCUGAGCAGCGGGGACGAGUUUUACAUCGCCUGCGACAACAUCGGGACCCCUCUCGCUGUCUUCAGUGGGACAGGCUUGAUGAUCAAGCAGAUCCUGUACACGGCCUACGGGGAGAUCUACAUGGACACUAACCCCAACUUCCAGAUCAUCAUCGGCUACCACGGCGGCCUCUACGACCCGCUCACCAAGCUCGUGCACAUGGGCCGGCGGGAUUACGACGUGCUGGCGGGCCGCUGGACCAGCCCAGACCACGAGUUGUGGAAGCACCUUAGCAGCAGCAAUAUCAUGCCUUUUAAUCUCUAUAUGUUUAAAAACAACAACCCCAUCAGCAACGCUCAGGACAUCAAGUGCUUCAUGACAGAUGUCAACAGCUGGCUCCUCACCUUCGGAUUCCAGCUUCACAAUGUGAUUCCCGGCUAUCCCAAGCCAGACACGGAUGCCAUGGAACCGUCCUACGAGCUCUCCCACACGCAGAUGAAAACUCAGGAAUGGGACAACAGCAAGUCUAUCCUUGGGGUACAGUGUGAGGUGCAGAAGCAGCUCAAGGCCUUCGUCACCCUGGAACGUUUUGAGCAGCUCUAUGGCUCCACAAUCACCAGCUGCCAGCAGGCCCCAGAGACAAAGAAGUUUGCAUCCAGCGGCUCAGUCUUCGGCAAGGGGGUCAAGUUCGCCCUGAAGGAUGGCCGAGUGACCACAGACAUCAUCAGUGUGGCCAACGAGGACGGGCGGAGGGUCGCUGCCAUCUUGAACAACGCCCACUACCUGGAGAACCUGCACUUCACCAUCGACGGGGUGGACACCCACUACUUCGUGAAACCGGGGCCUUCCGACGGCGACCUGGCCAUCCUAGGGCUCAGCGGGGGGCGGCGAACCCUGGAGAACGGGGUCAACGUCACGGUGUCCCAGAUCAACACGAUGCUCAACGGCAGGACUAGACGCUACACAGACAUCCAGCUCCAGUACGGGGCGCUGUGCUUGAACACCCGCUACGGGACCACGCUGGACGAGGAGAAGGUGCGGGUGCUGGAGCUGGCCCGGCAGAGAGCCGUGCGCCAGGCCUGGGCCCGGGAGCAGCAGAGACUCCGGGACGGGGAGGAAGGCCUGCGGGCCUGGACAGAGGGCGAGAAGCAGCAGGCGCUGAACACAGGGCGGGUUCAAGGCUACGAUGGCUUCUUCGUGAUCUCCGUCGAGCAGUACCCGGAACUGUCGGACAGCGCCACCAACAUCCACUUCAUGAGACAGAGCGAGAUGGGCCGAAGGUGACAGGGAGGACCGUGGCCUGGACUUCUUGCCAAAGACAGCUACUCUUUUGUGGCCGCCUACCUGACUGUGCUGUACUUUAAAAAAAAGAGGAAAAAAAAAAAUCCUUUUUGUAACAAGUGCAGAAAACAAAGAAAAAAAAGAUACUGGUUGCAUUGUAAUUCAUGCAACAUGCUUUUUUUUAAGAAAAGGAAAACACAAAUUUGGCCUUCGCACAUUUUUUGCAAAGAACAGAAGGUAUUUUUUUUCUGUAGUGUGAUCACAAUGAAAACUAGAUUGUCUUUUGUUCCCUUUCCCUUGAGGAGUUGUCCUUGUUGUCUGGGGUACAUUUCUCCUCGCUGAGAUGCAUCUCCUGGGGUGUGUUCUUGUCUGUCCCUAGGUACCCAGUGUGAUGUGAGACACGAGUGUCUGUGCUUCUUUGUCCCAUGUGCAACUCUCUCUUCCGCGGGGGUCGGGCAGGCGUGAGGGGUGCAGAGAGCAGAUUUUGAGGGGGGGCCUGGAAGGAGGGUCGGCAGGACCUGAGGCUCGUUGGCUAAGCUCCCACAGACACGUGGGAGCUUUUUUAACUCACUGUGUCCCACGCCUGCAGGGGACCACAGAUGGGCUGACCUUGCUCUGGGCAAUUUCAUGAUCUCACAGCACCUUUUGUAAGCUGCCCCAAACUCAUUCUUAAGCUUUCGAUUUUGACGCUAAAUGAAACCCCCUCCUGCUUUUGCCAGUCUUGUGUGGUUGUCAGUGCCAUCCCAGCGCUGGGAUGGAGACAGUGUCUCCCAGGCCCUGUCCCGUGUCUGAUGACAUCCUCCCAGGUUUAAGAGCCCCAGCCUCCCCAAGAGGCAGAGGCACCCAGGAUGCCUGUGGUUGCUUGGGCCUCCCAAGAUGUUUCUCAGACGCCUCCUCUCUCCCGUAGUCAGAUGUGAGAACCAGCGCCGCACAACAAGCCCCCAGUGUGGGUACCACGCCAGAGGGAAAGGUCACCCACGCCGAAAGGAUGGCAGUGGUGGCAAGGGUACCAGCCUGCCUUCCUAGGCGAACCCCUCUCCCCACACUUUGCUUACCUUCCCUCCGCUGCUCAGCUGCCACCGCUGAGAAACAGGAGUGUGAAGAGAGGUACUUGGUGGCCUUUGAUUCUGGAACGAGGCUUCAGGAAAACUCAGCCAAAGAGGGGAAGGCCUGAGCCAAGCAUCCUUGUAACCAGCUCCCGAGGGCUUCUCUGCCUCCCACACAUGGGGCUGACUGCCGAGCUGGGAUGCGGCUGGAUAGGCUUUCGGGACACUCUGUCUGUGAAAUUCUUCUACGGCCUCCCCCCACAGGAGCCCAGCAAGGGUCCUAGGGCAAGAUUAAGGAGCAAGGAGGAAGGAGCUAAUCGGAUGUGGCUGGCCUGGCCCAGCACGAUUGGGGGCGGUCCCUGAACCUGGUGCCCACGGAUCCCCUAGGAGGCCAGGCUCCAGCUGUCCCUGGGAAGACCUAUGCCUGAGGUCAGUGGGAAGAGGCUGAAGCGUUCUCAGGAGCCAGCACCCCCCACACCCGGAGGGCAAGCCCAGGGAGGGGAGCAGCCGAGGCCCGGGGAGCAGCAAGGGGCGAGGAGAGCAGCCUGGAGAGCUGGGGACACCUUUCUCCUCCUGUUUUACCUGCCGAAUAACCAUCAUCAUUACCACUCACAGGAGGCUCUGGGAGACCAGGAGGGGAAGGCAAAUGCUUCCUUUUAAGCUGGGCUUCUUAGAAAAUGGGACUUUGUGUGGGUUACAUUUUACAUUUAAUGUGGAAAAUGAAUUCUGAGUCUGAGCUCUCCCCCGUGGAAACCUCGUUGGACUGACAAGCUCAUGGCACCUUUAUAGCCUUACUCACAGAGUCUUCAGAAUAUUCCAUGCGCUAAUGAAACCAAGACGGUCUCUUACUGCAUGAGAUUCGGGGCAGCGCGGAGUCUGGGUUCUGCCCGGCAGAGGGAGGCCCCCAAAGCUGCUCGGGAGAGGAGGUCUCGCCUUACGUCACCCCACUGGGAUUAGAGGCUGUGUUUUGCUAAGUGCUCUUCCUGUUUCCAAAAAAAGUCACACCCCGGCGAAGAGUGAGCCUUGGCCUGUCUGUGCACUGAGCUCCGCCGGGUCAGAUGCAGGGCUCCGCGGGCCCACUGUGCGAGGCAGAAGCUGGUCGCGGGUUCCGUCCAACAGAAUCCUUCCUGGAUGGGAUGGAAGACAGUUUGGCCUGAAGAACACAAGGUUUUUCUAUCCAAAAAUAGACUUAUGCUUCUCAAAGGUACUUUUCAUAGUAGGGGCCCUUAAGCAAUGGGACCUUUGAGCAACGGGACCCUUGCCUACUGGCCUAGACGGCUGCCUGACAUCCGUCAAGACCCGCUGGAGAGGUCGACUUGGAGGAUGAGACUCCCUUUAACCCACCCUCCAGCCAUCACCGGAGGGCAGAGCUAUGACAGUGGGAAGAAGGGAAAGAAACUCCAUGGUAAAUUAGACCUCCGGACUGUUGGCUGGGAAUUAACCCAAGGAAGAGGGCAGUGCCUGAUUGCUACCUGUGGAUGGAGGGUUUGCAGCAAUUUCUAAGAGACGGACCAGAGGCUGAAAAUGGCCAGUGGGUGUGAUUUUAAAGAGUUGGGAUGAUGUGGAGCUGGGAGCCGAAGGUGCUGUAGGCAAGGAAGGCUCAGCCAUCCUGGCAGAAACAGAGUCACAGAUGUCUGGUGGCGCCUGCGGCCCUGGAGUCAUCCAACACCGGAAUCCCACCUUUCUAAACCUGCCUGUUGUUCUCGAAGACUUCUGAACCCGCAGCUUCGGCAAAAGGACCCUCCAAGCUGCCUCUGGACGACCACCACUGGAGACUCUGGCCUUACCAUGUGGACAUAGUUUUCCUGAAGUCUGGAACUAAUUUUGAGAAGUUUUUUCUCAACACUUUUGUGUUUCUAACACUGUAUUCUCGACUGUGUAAAUACCGACAAGGCUGUAAAUAAAUGCAGAUGUAGAUACCUUCUAGAAAAAAAAAAAAAAAAAGGCAUAAAAACAAAACCAGAAGUGAUCCUGUGUAGCCUUCGUUGACAAAUAAAAGAAUAUUUUGUGUU